UGUGAGAGUGUGUCUGUGUUUGUGUGGGUAAUAUGCGUGUGUGUGGGUGUAUCUGUGUUUAUACAGUUACGAGUGUUUAUGAAUAUGUUAGUGUAAUAUGUGUGUUUGUGUAUGUAUGAGUGUGUGUGUGUGUGUGUGUGUGCGUGUGUGUGAUGUGUGUGUGUGUGAUGUGUGUGUGUGUGUGUUUAUGUGGGUGAUAUGUGUGUGUGGGUAUAAGUUUGUUUGUGUGUGUGUGUAAUAUAUGUGUUUGUGUGGGUGGGUGGGUUUGUGUGUUUGUGUGUGUGUAUGUAAUAUGUGCGUGUGUGUGUCUAUGUUUGUGUGUGUGUGUGUUUGUAUGUGUGUCUAUGUUUGUGUGUGUGUGUGUUUGUGUGUGUGUGUAUGUAUGCAUGCGUGUUUGUGUUUGUGUGGGUAAUAUGUGUGUAUGUGAGUGCGUAUGUGUCUAUGUUUAUACAGUUACGUGUGUUUGUGUAUGUGUUUUUGUGUGUGAGAGUGUGUGUGUGUGUGUGUGUUUGUUUGUGUGUGUACUUUGUGUGUUUGUGUAUGUAAUAUAUAUGUGUUAAUGUGUAUAUAUGUGUGGAUGGGUUUUUGUGUGUAUACGUGUGUGUGUGUGUUUUUUUUUGUUUGUGAGUCUGUGUGUGUGUUUGUGAUUGGGAGUGUUUGUAUGUGAGUGUUUAUGUGGGUGAUAUGUGUGUUUGGGCGAAUAGGAGUGUGGGUAUAAGUUUGUAUGUGGGUGGGUGGGUGUGUGUAAUAUAUGUGUGUUUGUGGAGGUGUGUGUGUUUGUGUUUGUGUGUUUAUGUGUAUGUGUGUGUGUGAAUGUGUGUUUAUGUGUGCAUGUUUGUGUGUGUGUAUGUGUGUGUGUGUGUUUGUGUGGGUAAUAUGUGUGUGUAAGUGUGUUUGUGUUUGUGUUUAUACAGUUACGUGUGUUUGUGUAUGUGUUUUUGUGUGUUUGUGUGUGUGAGAGUCUGUGUGUGUCUGUGUGUUUGUGUAUGUAUGAGUCUCUUUGUGUGUGUGUGUUAAUGUGAUUGUGUGUGUGAUGUGUGUGCGUGUGUCUGUGUGUGUUUAUGUGUUUAUUUUUGUGGUAUGUGUGUGGGGGUAUAAGUUUGUAUGUAUGUAGGUGUGUGCGUGUGUGUGAUAUAUGUGUUUGUGUGGGUGUUUGUGUAUGUGAGUGUCAAUGUUUUUGGGUGUGUGUGUGUCUGAAUGUGUGUUUGUGUGUUAUGUGUGCAUGUUUGUGUGAGAGUAUGUGUGUGUGUUUGUGUGAGAGUGUAUGUGUGUGUGUGAGUGCGUCUGUGUUUGUGUUUGUAUAAUUACGUGUGUUUGUGUAUGUGUUUGUGUGUGUGUGUGUGUGUUUGUGGUGUAAUAUGUGUGUUUCUGUAUGUAAUAUAUGUGUGUUAAGGUGCAUGUGUGUGUGUAUCUAUGUGUGUAUGUGUGUGAAUGGGGGGUUUAUGUAUGUAUGUGUUUUUUUGUGUUUGUUGAGUGUGU
rnacentral:lncRNA from 1 species